GAGUUAUUCAAGGAGUAUAUUGCUAUUAAUAAAGAAGGUUACUAAUAGUAAUUAAAGUUACUUAAAACCUAAGGGAAACCAAAGAUUAAUAAACGUGAAGAACUGAAUCAUCUAAGUAUUCAUAGGAAAAGAAAUCAAACGAGAUAUUAUAAGUAACGGCGAGUGAAAGUAAUAAAGCCAAAAAAAGUAAGUAAAUUGGGUAAAACUGAUUGAAUAAGGAUUAACUAAAUCCAAGGCUAAAUAUUAUUAAUAAGCAUAAAAAGUACUGAAAAGGAAAAUAUGAAAUGGAUAAUUUAUAAGCAGCAUGAGAUUAAAAUUAAUUUAAUGCGUACCUUUUGCAUAAUGGGCCAGCAAGUAAUUAAUAAUAGCAAAGUAUAAAAUACUAUAUAUAAAUAAAAUAUUUAAUAAAUAUAAUAUAAUAUUAUAUUUGAAAAAUGUUAAUAAGUUAUUAUUAAUUGGCCCGAAAAUAAAAGAUCUUAUUAUUACAAGAUAUAUAAUCAAAUAAUUUUAUAUAAUAUAAUUAUAUUAUAAAAUUAAUUAAUUGAUUUAUUGAUCGAAUGGGUUAAUGUUGCAGUAUUAUCCAAUUAGUAAUGAUAAGUAAGUGAAAGACUAACCUGUUUUAUAGAUAGCUGGUUCUCUGUGAAAUAUAUGUUAGUAUAGCGAUUGAUAAUAAUGAUUAUAAGGUAUAGCACUUAAUAUUUUUAAUUAUAUAUAUAUAUAUAUAUAUAUAUAAUUAUAUAUGGGGUCAAUUAUUGAUUUAUCAUGUAUAUUUAAUCUCAUAAUAUUAUAAUCAAAAGUCAAUUAGUCAGACUAUGUGCGAUAAGGUUCAUAGUCGAGAGGGAAACAGCCCCAAAUACAAUUUAAGGUUCCAAAUUAUGAAUUAAGUGAACAUAAUGUAUAAUAUUUCAAAUCCAAUUAGUUGGUGGGUUUGACAAUAACCAUCCUAUAAUGAACAUGUAACAAUGCACUAAUUAAAAAUAAAAAUGAAAUAUUAUACAGAUAAUACACGGAUCUUAAUAUUAUUAAUAAUAUAAAUUCAUAACCGAAAAUUUAUAUAUUAAUAUAUAAAUAAUAAAUAUAUUAAUAUGGUAACAGAGCAUGUAAUAAACAUAAUAUAAUAGUUAGAUAAAUUAUUAUAAAAAUAUAGCUAUAAUAUAUAAGCUAUAUAAUAUAAUUAUAAAUAAUAAUUAAUGUAAUAUAUAAUAUUUAUAUAUAUUAUAUGUAAUGAUAAAUAAUUAUAAUUAUAAUUGUUAAUUAUAUAGAGAAUGCUGGCAUGAGUAGCGAAAAAUAAGUUUAAUUGUUUAAUACAAUUAUCUAAACUUAUUCACAUAAUACAUAUGGUUUUACUAUAAAUUCGGUCCUUAAGCUAGUAUAUAGUUAUAAUAUAUGCGAUAGGUUUAAAUAACAUUUAUAUAUAUUAAUUUUUUAAUAAAUUAAUAUGGGCAUAUUUCAUAUAAAAUAAAAAAGUUAUAGGUAUUAAAAUAUGUACAAGAAAGAAAUAAUUGUUUAAAACCGUAAUUAAGACCGACACAGGUGUGUGUAUAGUAGAGAAUAUGAAAGUGAAUGGAUAAACUAUUCCGAAGGAACUCGGCAAAAAGCACCCCCACGUUCGCCAACAAAGGGAUAAAAAAAAUAAGGUUAUACAACUGUUUACUAAAAACACAGGACACUGCGGAUACAAAAGUAUUAGUAUAGUGUCUGAAUUCUGCUCCAUGGUUAAAGGAUAAAAUAUGAAAUUGUAAAAGAUUUUAUAUAAAUAUUUAAUCAAAUAGCAGCCUUAUUCUGAGGGUUAUAAUGUAGCGAAAUACCUUGUCUAAUAAUUAUAGUCGUGCAUGAAUGGAGUAAUGAUAUAACAACUGUCUCCGGAAUAGGUCCAGCGAAAUUG
rfam:Cyberlindnera fabianii strain 65 BON22_Sc21, whole genome shotgun sequence.